UACGUAGGGACCAAGCGUUGUUCGGAUUUACUGGGCGUAAAGGGCGCGUAGGCGGCAUGACAAGUCACUUGUGAAAUCUCUGGGCUUAACUCAGAACGGCCAAGUGAUACUGUCGCGCUAGAGUGCAGAAAGGGCAAUCGGAAUUCUUGGUGUAGCGGUGAAAUGCGUAGAUAUCGAGAGGAACACCGGAGGCGAAGGCGGGUUGCUAGGCUGACACUGACGCUGAUGCGCGAAAGCCAGGGGAGCAAACGGG
rnacentral:rRNA from 1 species